rnacentral:rRNA from 1 species
GUAGGUGGCAAGCGUUGUCCGGAAUUAUUGGGGCGUAAAGCGCGCGCAGGCGGUUCUUUAAGUCUGAUGUGAAAGCCCAGGGCUCAACCGUGAGGGUCAUUGGAAACUGGAGAACUUGAGUACAGAAGAGGAAAGCGGAAUUCCACGUGUAGCGGUGAAAUGCGUAGAGAUGUGGAGGAACACCAGUGGCGAAGGCGGCUUUCUGGUCUGUAACCGACGCUGAGGCGCGAAAGCGUGGGGAGCAAACAGGAUUAGAUACCCUGGUAGUCCACGCCGUAAACGAUGAGUGCUAAGUGUUAGGGGGUUUCCGCCCCUUAGUGCUGCAGCUAACGCAUUAAGCACUCCGCCUGGGGAGUACGGCCGCAAAGGCUG